GGCGCCGUGGCUUAGUUGGUUAAAGCGCCUGUCCAGAAAACAGGAGAUCGAAAGUUCGAAUCUCUCCGGUGCCU
rnacentral:tRNA from 1 species